ACUCAAAUGAAUUGACGGGGGCCCGCACAAGCGGCGGAGCAUGCUGAUUAAUUCGAUGCAACGCGAAGAACCUUACCUGGGUUUGACAUAUACCGGAAAGCCAUAGAGAUAUGGCCCCCCUUGUGGUCGGUAAACAGGUGGUGCAUGGCUGUCGUCAGCUCGUGUCGUGAGAUGUUGGGUUAAGUCCCGCAACGAGCGCAACCCUCGUUCUAUGUUGCCAGCACGUAAUGGUGGGGACUCAUAGGAGACUGCCGGGGUCAACUCGGAGGAAGGUGGGGAUGACGUCAAGUCUUCAUGCCCCUUAUAUCCAGGGCUUCAAGCAUGCUACAAUGGCCGGUACAAAGGGCUGCGAUAUCGCAAGAUGGAGCGAAUCCCAAAAAGCCGGUCUCAGUUCGGAUUGGGGUCUGCAACUCGACCCCAUGAAGUCGGAGUCGCUAGUAAUCGCAGAUCAGCAACGCUGCGGUGAAUACGUUCCCGGGCCUUGUACACACCGCCCGU
rnacentral:rRNA from 1 species